UUCAGAUUCUACUUUCUGCUGAACAAACUAGGUUGUUGGGCUUGGUGGAGUUGAAGUUACAUGUAUGCAUAUUCUUUUAUGUAUCUAGGUGGGGUUGGCAGAGGUUAUGCAGGUAGACAGUUGGUUGUCUAGAGCUGGAAGAAAUUAGGUAAUUGCUAGAAUGGAAAGUGCGAUGUAGGAGCAGCCAAAUGAUAGUUGCACUUAUGAUGCUGAUCGGAAGAGUGAAAAAGAAAGCCAUACCGCAGGCAAAGAGGAGCCCCCACCAUGGGAGCUGAAUUUCGUCCUUUAGCACAGUGCAGAGGAUUAGAGAGACUACAAUUGUCAAUACUAGCAACAAGUGAAACCACCACCCAGAAUUUUACGGAUGCAAAAAAGCAUGGACAGAAUAUGCAGCAGCUUGCUUUUUUAAAUAGGACAUGAUGACAGCAGUUACCAUGAAUCACCGUCCAAAGAUUUUGUUCUACUCACAGAUGUUUUUGUUUCUCAUGCCUUUCUCCAUUCUCAGUCAACGAGUGAUUAUAUUUGCAUCUUGCAUAAGUAUAUGAUGGCUUUAAACUCUAUAUACACAAUAGCAGUUCUAUGAGAGUUUAUCACAUUUGUGCUGAACCAACUGUGGUCAAAAUUGGCUUUGUCAGCAUGUUUUUUGGAAAAACCAUCAAGUAGUUACUUGUCUUAGAAAAUAUUUGAUUUUUUUGUCAUAUGACCUUCAAUAAUUUUAUGUAAUAUGUUGCGUUGCCAUUGACAAAUAUGGUGUCUUCCGAAACUUUCAAAAGAUA